CUUGCCAUAACGCUGCUCAAUCUCUUGCCACAGUUUUUGUGCGGAUUCAAUAUAUAUCACGCUCUCUCUAAUUUAUGUAUCCAAGCUAUUUAGUAUCCAAGCAUUGACCAUAUCAUUACAAAGAAUCCAUGGUUCGAACAAAACAGAAUUUGCUCUAGGCUUAGGGAUAGUUCCAUUUAUAAUUCCUAACUUAUUUUUAUAUGACAAACCAAUCAGCAUGCUUCGUCUCCAUCCUCCGUACUCCGUCCCAUUAAAAUGCUUUGUAACCAAAACUGUACCAGUGUACCAGGAUAAUCAGAGGGAUACAAGUUUAAAGGAUGUGACGGCUCAACAAUACUAGAUGAAGCAGUAGUGGAAACAUUUGAAGCAUCAAUGUUAGGGGCCAUAGCAAAAUUACUUCGAGAAAAUUAGGGUUCUGAAAUUCACCAAACUAGAACUCACAGGAAACACAGUUAUAAUCAGAAGAAAAUUACCAAAUUUUCUGUGAAAUUGAAGGCAAUAAACUUCAAUUGGAAGAUAACAGAAAAUCUCCACCUCCGAGCUUCACCGGAAAAUCAUACUGAAUUACCACAAUAUCGUCGUCGAAAAAAAUCUUCAGAAAACAUAUAGGAUUAACAUCGACCCGCCGGAAAACAUGCGAGAUACAUCAUCCUUUUCUUUGAUACCAUGAAGACUUAUGGAUUCUUAACAAUGUAUGGACUUGGAGUAGAAGAGUAUAGAAGUUUACAUGACGUUCGAGAAAAAGAGAACAAUGAAGAAAU
rnacentral:lncRNA from 1 species